rnacentral:rRNA from 1 species
UACGAAUCGUCCAAACGUUGUUCGGAUUCACUGGGUUUAAAGGGCGCGUAGGCGGUGCGUUAAGUCGGCGGUGAAAUACUUCGGCUCAACCGGAGAAUUGCCGCUGAAACUGGCGCGCUCGAGGGAGGUAGAGGUGUGUGGAACUUCCAGUGGAGCGGUGAAAUGCGUUGAUAUCGGAAGGAACACCUGUGGCGAAGGGCGGGUCUCUGGGCCGUAACUGACGCUGAGGAGGCGAAAAGCAU